GUGCCAGCCGCCGCGGUAAUACCGGCAGCUCGAGUGAUGGCCACUCUUAUUGGGCCUAAAGCGUCCGUAGCUGGCCGCGCAAGUCCGUCGGGAAAUCCAUCAGCCUAACUGAUGGGCGUCCGGCGGAAACUGCACGGCUUGGGACCGGAAGGCUCGAGAGGUACGUCCGGGGUAGGAGUGAAAUCCCGUAAUCCCGAACGGACCACCGAUGGCGAAAGCACUUCGAGAAAACGGAUCCGACAGUGAGGGACGAAAGCCAGGGUCUCCAACCGGAUUAGAAACCCGUGUGUCC
rnacentral:rRNA from 1 species